GAAUAGGCUUAGUGGUUGAGCAUCUGCCUUGCAUGCAGAAGGUCCCAGGUUCAAUCCCCAGCAGGUAGGGCU